CAGCACCUCAAGUGGUCAGGAUGAUUAUUGGGCCUAAAGCAUCCGUAGCCUGCUUUGUAAGUUUUCGGUUAAAUCCAUACGCUCAACGUAUGGGCUGCCGGGAAUACUGCAAAGCUAGGGAGUGGGAGAGGUAGACGGUACUCGGUAGGAAGGGGUAAAAUCCUUUGAUCUAUUGAUGACCACCUGUGGCGAAGGCGGUCUACCAGAACACGUCCGACGGUGAGGGAUGAAAGCUGGGGGAGCAGACCGGAUUAGAUACCCGAGUAGUCC
rnacentral:rRNA from 1 species